AUUGAACGCUGGCGGCAGGUUUAACACAUGCAAGUCGAGCGGGGGGAAGGUAGCUUGCUACCUAACCUAGCGGCGGACGGGUGAGUAAUGCUUAGGAAUCUGCCUAUUAGUGGGGGACAACAUUUCGAAAGGGAUGCUAAUACCGCAUACGCCCUAAGGGGGAAAGCAGGGGAUCUUCGGACCUUGCGCUAAUAGAUGAGCCUAAGUCGGAUUAGCUAGUUGGUGGGGUAAAGGCCUACCAAGGCGACGAUCUGUAGCGGGUCUGAGAGGAUGAUCCGCCACACUGGGACUGAGACACGGCCCAGACUCCUACGGGAGGCAGCAGUGGGGAAUAUUGGACAAUGGGGGGAACCCUGAUCCAGCCAUGCCGCGUGUGUGAAGAAGGCCUCUUGGUUGUAAAGCACUUUAAGCGAGGAGGAGGCUACCGAGAUUAAUACUCUUGGAUAGUGGACGUUACUCGCAGAAUAAGCACCGGCUAACUCUGUGCCAGCCGCCGCCGUAACAC
rnacentral:rRNA from 1 species